GGAAACCUGGCUGGGUUUGGUAUUGGGACUGCUGCUACUCCAGUUACUGCGAAACCUAAUCCAUUUGGUGCAGUAUCACCCAGUAAAGCUUCAUCUCCGGCAAACUCCUUAUUUACAAGUACAGCUUCAGGCGGGGAGCUCUUUCGACCAGCAUCGUUUAGUUUCCAACCGAUACAGCCACCCCAACCGUCAGCAUCUGCAAAUUUUGGUGCUUUUCCUGGUAGCUUCAGCCUCAGUUCCACGAGUCAAGCUCCUGCAAUGGGUGGGUUUGGCCAGCCGGCUCAGGUUGGACAUGAGCUAUUUCGACCAGCAUCGUUUAGUUUCCAACCAAUACAGCCACCCCAACCGUCAGCAUCUGCAAAUUUUGGUGCUUUUCCUGGUUCCACGAGUCAAGCUCCUGCGAUGGGUGGGUUUGGC
rnacentral:lncRNA from 1 species